ensembl:ncRNA asRNA:CR43981 antisense RNA:CR43981
GAUGGGGGGCACCUCAUCUUCGCUGGUUUCGUUCUGCGGUGAAAGAGGUACAUGGGUACGUGCACCAACCCACCUUAAUGGUUUCCAUCAGGGAUUGCACCUUCUGCUCGUCCAGGACGGAGGGAAUGGGUCGCUGGAUGACGCUCAUGGGCACCAGGUGGGUCUCAUCGAUGCCGGCGGAGUGAACGGUGGUGUCCAUGGUGCUGCAGCUGGAUCUGUAUCUGCGGAAUGCCUGUCGAUUGGUCAAAGAUCUUGGCCAGUUGUGAAAUUUCACCAAAAACAACCGCGUUAUCAAUGAUUGGACCCAAUGCGGCGGUGCGUCUGCUCGUCGCUCGCAAGAAAUGGCUAAUGAACUCCAUGGCGGACAAUUGCACGAUUUUUGACACCGCACGGCGUUGAAACUUGUUUGCUGCUCAUGUGUGGGUUCGUUUACCGCUAUAUGUUGUUUUGCUGCAGCUACUUGUUGUUUGUUUUAUGCAUAAUCAUACCCCCCACCACCCACAAACGCACACACACACAUGCGACCAGUAUUGCCAGUGCGAU